rnacentral:rRNA from 1 species
AUGCAAGUCGAACGAGCGAGAGAGAGCUUGCUUUCUCGAGCGAGUGGCGAACGGGUGAGUAACGCGUGAGGAACCUGCCUCAAAGAGGGGGACAACAGUUGGAAACGACUGCUAAUACCGCAUAAGCCCACGGGUCGGCAUCGACCAGAGGGAAGAGGAGCAAUCCGCUUUGAGAUGGCCUCGCGUCCGAUUAGCUAGUUGGUGAGGUAACGGCCCACCAGGGCGACGAUCGGUAGCCGGACUGAAAGGUUGAACGGCCACAUUGGGACUGAGACACGGCCCAGACUCCUACGGGAGGCAGCAGUGGGGAAUAUUGCACAAUGGGGGAAACCCUGAUGCAGCGACGCCGCGUGGAGGAAGAAGGUCUUCGGAUUGUAAACUCCUGUUGUUGGGGAAGAUAAUGACGGUACCCAACAAGGAAGUGACGGCUAACUACGUGCCAGCAGCCGCGGUAAAACGUAGGUCACAAGCGUUGUCCGGAAUUACUGGGUGUAAAGGGAGCGCAGGCGGGAAGACAAGUUGGAAGUGAAAUCUAUGGGCUCAACCCAUAAACUGCUUUCAAAACUGUUUUUCUUGAGUAGUGCAGAGGUAGGCGGAAUUCCCGGUGUAGCGGUGGAAUGCGUAGAUAUCGGGAGGAACACCAGUGGCGAAGGCGGCCUACUGGGCACCAACUGACGCUGAGGCUCGAAAGUGUGGGUAGCAAACAGGAUUAGAUACCCUGGUAGUCCACACCGUAAACGAUGAUUACUAGGUGUUGGAGGAUUGACCCCUUCAGUGCCGCAGUUAACACAAUAAGUAAUCCACCUGGGGAGUACGACCGCAAGGUUGAAACUCAAAGGAAUUGACGGGGGCCCG